AACGAACGCUGGCGGCAGGCCUAACACAUGCAAGUCGAGCGCGCCCUUCGGGGUGAGCGGCGGACGGGUGAGUAACGCGUGGGAACGUGCCCUUCUCUGCGGAAUAGCCUCGGGAAACUGAGAGUAAUACCGCAUACGCCCUUUGGGGGAAAGAUUAUCGGAGAAGGAUCGGCCCGCGUUGGAUUAGGUAGUUGGUGGGGGAAUGGGCCACCAAACCGACGAUCCAUAGCCGGUUUUGGAGGAUGAUCAGCCACACUGGGACCGAGACACGGCCCCAACCCCCACGGGAGGGAGGAGGGGGGGAACUUGAACAAUGGGGGGAAACCCGAAUCAGCCCUGCCGCGGGGGUGAUGAAGGGCCUUAGGUUUUAAAAGUCUUUUACGCGGGGAAAUUAAGGCCGUUCCCAGCAAAAAAAGCCCGGGCAAACUCGGU
rnacentral:rRNA from 1 species